UUUCUUCUGGGUCCCCCUACAUGGGUGCAGGGGCCCAAGGGCUUCCAUUGCUUUCCAAGGCACAUUAGCAGGGAGACGGAUCAGAAGUGAAGCAGUCGAGACUUGAACUGGCGCCCAUGUGGGAUGCUGGCACUGCAGGUGGUGGCUUUAUCCACUAUACCACAGCGCUGGCCCCACAUUUUUUUUUUCUUAAAACACAUUUUCCAUGAACUUUUUGAAAACCCCUCAUUAAUAAAAUUGUCAGGCUGUGCAGACUAGAUGAGAGAACACCUGGGGGAGUAUAGAUGUCACCAAGCCAUUGUGAUGUGUGGGAGGCUGCUUGUCCUCUGAUCAGUGUCACUCACAGUAGCCAUGUAUCUUUCUUUACACUUCACUUUCAGAAUCCCCUAUUUCUGCUGGUCCUGAGACGGGAGGCCAAGCAGGCGCUAGGAUGCUGCCCAAAGGUGUACAGAAGUGAAAAGGGAGAGGAGCCUCUCAAAAUGAUGGGGCACCACCUGCUGGCUGAGGUGCAGAGAGGUCGUAAGCCUCCUUUGUAAGCGCCCCGGGGUCUACUCGCUCUGGAAGAAGGAUUGGGAAGGAGAAAGAUAAAUCCAUCCUCGCCCCUUUCCACACAGCUCCUCUCUGCUUCUAUGUCCUCUUUUCUAAAUUACAAGUAACAAAUGCCACUUCUGAGGAUUUCCGUAAGGAUUCUGAGAGGCAACUGGUGGAAGCAGCAAGCCCCGUGCUCAUUUGGCACUCGGUAUGGAAAUUGAGGUUUGAAGAAGUGAAAUGAUUUGGAUCAAAAACCUGCAGGCUUCUAGGCUGGAGAUCAUGGCACCAUUUUGGCACUGAUUUGAGGGAACCCUGGGAAAGACAGGAUGGAAAAGAGAGGUCAUGAACUGAGACAGGAGGAUCACUUAGAAGAAUGAGUGAGAACCAGUGCCAAAGUAAUAUCAGUGACCAUGGGGCUUCCAGGAGAGAAUUAGAAUUGUUAUCAAAUCCAGAAGUUGAAGUCACAUCAUGCACUGGUUUGAUGAGUUCUUUAAUAAAAUUAUCGUGAACAUUUAAUAUAAGAUGUCUCCUGACUCUACCUGUUUUAUUGGAAGCUUUUCUGAGGAUGCCAUUGUCUUUGCUGCUGAAUUUUGCUGUUGAUAAGAAUGACAAGGUUGUUUCCUACUGAAGGUGUCAUUGGAGCAUGGACAAAGGUUGAGGAUUUGGGGUGCAAAGAUUGCCCAGUUAUUUUUUUGUGGAAAACCCACUCUUUAGAUUUCACAUAAAGUGUUCCGAAAAUGAGAGUUUCCAUUUAAUGUCAUUCCAUACCAUGUACUCAGGGAUAUGAGAGAGGAAAUAGGAGCUUUACUUUCAAGUGACUUGCAUUUUGCUUCUGAAAGAUUUAAAUAACUCAUGUGACAAGGUA